UACGGAGGGUGCAAGCGUUAUCCGGAUUCACUGGGUUUAAAGGGUGCGUAGGCGGGUAUAUAAGUCAGUGGUGAAAGCUCCGGGCUUAACUUGGAAACUGCCAUUGAUACUGUAUAUCUUGAAUGUCGUUGAGGUUAGCGGAAUGUUGCAUGUAGCGGUGAAAUGCUUAGAUAUGUUACAGAACACCAAUUGUGAAGACAGCUAACUAAGCGAUAAUUGACGCUGAGGCACGAAAGCGUGGGGAGCAAACAGG
rnacentral:rRNA from 1 species